UACGUAGGGUGCGAGCGUUAAUCGGAAUUACUGGGCGUAAAGCGUGCGCAGGCGGUUCGUUGUGUCGGUGGUGAAAUCCCCGGGCUUAACCUGGGAAUGGCCAUGGAAACUGGCGAACUGGAGUGUGGCAGAGGGGGGUGGAAUUCCGCGUGUAGCAGUGAAAUGCGUAGAGAUGCGGAGGAACACCGAUGGCGAAGGCAGCCCCCUGGGCUAACACUGACGCUCGAGGCACGAAAGCGUGGGGAGCAAACAGG
rnacentral:rRNA from 1 species